AAGGGCCUAAACGCAAGCUUAUAGUGGAAUGUACCGGUGAAGGUGUGUUGUUUAUUGAGGCUGAAGCUGAUGUUGCUCUUGAGCAAUUCGGUGAUGCACUUCAACCUCCAUUCCCUUGCUUGGAAGAGCUUCUUUUUGAUGUCCCUGGCUCCAGUGGGGUGCUUAACUGCCCUUUGCUGCUUAUUCAGGUGACGCGCCUAAAAUGCGGUGGUUUUAUAUUUGCUCUCCGUCUCAACCACACCAUGAGCGAUGCUCCUGGCCUAGUCCAAUUCAUGUCCACCGUAGGAGAGAUGGCACGUGG
rnacentral:misc_RNA from 1 species